UACGUAGGCAGCGAGCGUUGUUCGGAGUUACUGGGCGUAAAGCGUGCGUAGGCGGUGGUCCAAGUCUGGCGUGAAAUCUCCCGGCUCAACUGGGAGGGUGCGCCGGAAACUGGGCCGCUGGAGUAUGGGAGAGGCAAGCGGAAUUCCAGGUGUAGCGGUGAAAUGCGUAGAUAUCUGGAGGAACACCCGUGGUGCAGACGGCUUGCUGGACCAUGACUGACGCUGAGGCACGAAAGCGUGGGUAGCAAACAGG
rnacentral:rRNA from 1 species